rnacentral:rRNA from 1 species
ACGAACGCUGGCGGCAUGCCUAACACAUGCAAGUCGAACGAGACCUUCGGGUCUAGUGGCGCACGGGUGCGUAACGCGUGGGAACCUGCCCUUAGGUUCGGAAUAACUCCCCGAAAGGGGUGCUAAUACCGGAUAAUGUCUUCGGACCAAAGAUUUAUCGCCUUUGGAUGGGCCCGCGUUGGAUUAGCUAGUUGGUAGGGUAAAAGCCUACCAAGGCGACGAUCCAUAGCUGGUCUGAGAGGAUGAUCAGCCAUACUGGGACUGAGACACGGCCCAGACUCCUACGGGAGGCAGCAGUGGGGAAUAUUGGACAAUGGGCGAAAGCCUGAUCCAGCAAUGCCGCGUGAGUGAUGAAGGCCUUAGGGUUGUAAAGCUCUUUUACCCGGGAUGAUAAUGACAGUACCGGGAGAAUAAGCUCCGGCUAACUCCGUG